ensembl:scaRNA
AUGCACCAGAUAUGGACCCGACUGUCCUCAGCACCAGUACACACUGGUGUCUUGAGUUCCGUGACUGUUGGGUUUUAAGAAAGGUGCCACAGAAACACCAGCCCUGAUAUUUAAGCUCAUGAGUGUGAAGGUGCACUCUUGAGUUAUGGCUCAGAGGCACAGUG